rnacentral:rRNA from 1 species
CAGCAGCCGCGGUAAUACGGAGGGGGCUAGCGUUGUUCGGAAUUACUGGGCGUAAAGCGCACGUAGGCGGCUUGGUAAGUUAGAGGUGAAAGCCCGGAGCUCAACUCCGGAAUUGCCUUUAAGACUGCCGAGCUAGUAGGUGAGAGAGGUAAGUGGAAUUCCGAGUGUAGAGGUGAAAUUCGUAGAUAUUCGGAAGAACACCAGUGGCGAAGGCGGCUUACUGGCUCAUUCUAGACGCUGAGGUGCGAAAGCGUGGGGAGCAAACAGGAUUAGAGACCCCGGUAGUCCCUGUCUCUUAUAC